UAAAUGCUGCAGAAUCGUACCGU
rnacentral:miRNA from 8 species